rnacentral:misc_RNA from 1 species
AAAAAAUGUGGGCUCUAAUGGGUGGGGAAAGAGAGGUUCGGGUGAGCACGGACGAACCUUCAGCGGCAGUUUGUUAUUUCAGGUUUUUUUUAAAGAUGAUCUACGACCACCCUUGACUCUCUCAUCAUCUUUCUUGAAUUAUGGAAUUCUCUCCCAGAGCUGCGGAACUCACGACUCUCUUAGAAAGUAGAAUGACCAACUUUGACACCAAUUUGCAAGUGGAUGAGAUAGGGCGAGUUGUUUCAGUUGGAGAUGGGAUUGCACGU